rnacentral:rRNA from 1 species
UACGUAGGGUGCGAGCGUUGUCCGGAAUUAUUGGGCGUAAAGGGCUCGUAGGCGGUUUGUCGCGUCGGGAGUGAAAACACCGGGCUUAACUCGGUGCUUGCUUUCGAUACGGGCAGACUAGAGGCAUGCAGGGGAGAACGGAAUUCCUGGUGUAGCGGUGAAAUGCGCAGAUAUCAGGAGGAACACCGGUGGCGAAGGCGGUUCUCUGGGCAUGUCCUGACGCUGAGGGGCGAAAGCGUGGGGAGCAAACAGG